AGUGAACGCUGGCGGUAGGCCUAACACAUGCAAGUCGAACGGCAGCACAGGAGAGCUUGCUCUCUGGGUGGCGGGUGGCGGACGGGUGAGGAAUACAUCGGAAUCUACUUUUUCGUGGGGGAUAACGUAGGGAAACUUACGCUAAUACCGCAUACGACCUACGAGUGAAAGCAGGGGACCUUCGGGCCUUGCGCGAUUGAAUGAGCCGAUGUCGGAUUAGCUAGUUGGCGGGGUAAAGGCCCACCAAGGCGACGAUCCGUAGCUGGUCUGAGAGGAUGAUCAGCCACACUGGAACUGAGACACGGUCCAGACUCCUACGGGAGGCAGCAGUGGGGAAUAUUGGACAAUGGGCGCAAGCCUGAUCCAGCCAUACCGCGUGGGUGAAGAAGGCCUUCGGGUUGUAAAGCCCUUUUGUUGGGAAAGAAAUCCAGCCGGCUAAUACCUGGUUGGGAUGACGGUACCCAAAGAAUAAGCACCGGCUAACUUCGUGCCAGCCGCCGCUGUAACAC
rnacentral:rRNA from 1 species